UAAUCACUUUAAAUAUCUAGACUCGGUCCUUCAAGUAGAUGGGGGGAUGUGAGGAGGAUGAUAGUCAUAGAAUUAAAGUCGGAUAGUUGAAGUGGAGAUGUGUUACAGGAGUUUUAUGUGAUCAUAAAAUUCUCAAAUAAGUUGAAAAGAAAAUUUUACUGUACAGCCAUACAACCGGCCAUGUUAUAUGGUAGUUAGUGUUGGGCAAUAAAGUAGCCGUAUGUGUCUAAGAUAAGAGUUGUGGAGAUGAGAAUGUUAAGAUGGAUGAGUGGCCAUACUAGUCUAGAUAAAGCCCGUAACGAGAGUAUUGGAGAAAAGGUAGGA
rnacentral:misc_RNA from 1 species